rnacentral:rRNA from 1 species
GCCCAGUUCAAUUUCUCAGGUUUGGCUGAGCUUCUGCCCAUGGUGGCCACGGACGACCGGACGGUGAUCAUCACGUCGGUGAACGAGGCCUUCGCGCGGCCGGGCUCCCUUCUGGGCCUCUUCCGUGAGAGCUUCUUCGCCGGCGAGAAGAUCGACCACUUCCUGGACCACCUCCUCAUCGUCGCCAUGGACCCCAUGGCCUACCGCCACUGCCGGACCGUGCACCGGUUCUGCUAUCUCAUCCGAGAGACGUCCAUGGACCUGAGCUCCGCGAGCGACUUCAUGAGCGACGCGUACGUGGAGCUGGUGUGGACCAAGCUGGAGCUCCAGCAGCGCGUGCUCCAGCUCGGCUACAGCUUCCUGUUCACGGACGUGGACAUCCUGUGGUUCCGGGACCCGUUCCGGCACAUCGGCCUGCACGCGGACAUGGCGACGUCCUGCGACGUGUUCUCCGGCGACGCGGACGACCUCGGCAACUGGCCCAACACGGGGUUCUACUACGUGAAGUCGACGAACCGGACGGUGGAGAUGCUGCGGCGGUGGCGGGCGGCGCGGCGGGGGUUCCCGCAAAACCACGAGCAAACCAUCUUCAACUACAUCAAGCACGAGAUCGCCGGCGCCGGCAGCGACCUGCGCAUACGCGUCCAGUUCCUCGACACGGCGCACUUCAGCGGCUUCUGCCAGCUGUUCCGCAACGACAUGGCGAGGGCGUGCACCAUGCACGCCAACUGCUGCAUCGGCAUGGCGAACAAGAUCAGCGACCUCCGGGACGUGCUGGGGCAGUGGAGGAACUACACGGUGAUGGCGCCGGCGGAGAAGAUGAAGCCCAUGGCCGCCUGGCGCGUCCCGGCCAAGUGCGGGACGUCCGACAAGAGGCCUCAGUAG